CUGAUGCAGCGACGCCGCGUGCGGGAUGACGGCCUUCGGGUUGUAAACCGCUUUUGACAGGGACGAAGCGUAAGUGACUGUACCUGUAGAAUAAGGACCGGCCAACUACGUGCCAGCAGCCGCGGUAAUACGUAGGGUCCGAGCGUUGUCCGGAAUUACUGGGCGUAAAGAGCUUGUAGGCGGUUCGUCGCGUCGUUUGUGAAAACUUGGGGCUCAACCUUAAGCUUGCAGGCGAUACGGGCGGACUAGAGUACUUCAGGGGAGACUGGAAUUCCUGGUGUAGCGGUGAAAUGCGCAGAUAUCAGGAGGAACACCGGUGGCGAAGGCGGGUCUCUGGGAAGUAACUGACGCUGAGAAGCGAAAGCAUGGGUAGCAAACAGGAUUAGAUACCCUGGUAGUCCAUGCCGUAAACGGUGGGUACUAGGUGUGGGGCUCCUUCCACGGACUCCGUGCCGUAGCUAACGCAUUAAGUACCCCGCCUGG
rnacentral:rRNA from 1 species